ensembl:ncRNA R10E12.4 ncRNA
UAACUGAGUUGGGGGAUAUAAUUAAAUAAAAUGGAAACAUUUUAGGGUUUCAAAAGCAAACGGAUAUAUAAUUAGGGGGUCCAUUGGGACCAUAAAGCUUUCGAACGCCGAGUUGCCGCCAAACAGUGGGUGACUGCAAUAACUCAACGAUUUAUUGGCCAUUUGUUGACAUCCACCCGUCUGUCAUACCAUGUAAGAUGAGAUUUGUCUCAUAGUGAGAAAGAGUGUCAUUCUCAUUCAUCCGGAAAUUAG